rnacentral:lncRNA from 1 species
AAGAAAUCAUCCUGAAACAAACAGUUUAAUUUGGAUCAGAAAUUUACAAUUCAAAAUAAGAAUUCAUAAAUUCAGAAUAAUCUACAUGAUUUCAUUAUGCUAUUAGGCAGAUUUUCAUACAGUUUUUCAACAACUGGCUCCUGAAGUAGAUAUCUGUUGGAUAAAAUAGCAUAAAAAUAUUUAGUGUCCCAACCAAUAUAAGGUUAAAAGAUCUAAACACAAAAAUAUUUGCAUUUUUUUGGCCAUGUGUGCCCUUGUGGCCAACAAGGCCGAUGGUUUCCUGGAGUGAAUCAUGAAGAGCAUGGUCAGCAGAGUGAGUGAAGUUAUCCUCCAUUCUGCUCUGCCUAGGUGAGUCCACAUUUAGAAUGCUGUUUCUGUUCCUGGGCUCCUCAGUUCGAAAAGACAGGGAACUUCUAGAGAGUCCAAUGGAAGGCCACAAAGACAUUCAGGAGCAGGGAGCAUCUUCUGUAUGUGUUCCCCUCUUUUCUCCCCUGAGGGUUGAUGGGUAGUACAAAAUGGAUGCUGUACUUCCAACACAGGAAGAGUAGAAGCAGGAAAAUGAGGGCAUCUGAGCUAAAAACAAAAAGCAUUUAAAAAGUAUUGUCUCAAAAGCCACUGAAAAAAAAUUAAAAAUAUGUAUAUCCAGGCUUUAAAUCUUGUGAGCCUUGUUGAUAAGUAAAAAGACGUUUUAUCUUUCUGACAGACUUGCCAAACCAAAAGUGGAGGUCUGAAGUUCAGAAUGAAUGUUUUAGUAACAAAUAACGUACUUGAAAAUGAUUGAAACUAGGAACUGCUGUCACUCUUUUAAUUAGCUUAAGGUGCCACAAUGAAAGAGUCGGCCCUGUUCAUACGUCUGUCUGUUUUCAUUGUGAGUAGUAUUUCCUUCCCCUGUGGAUGGAACGUAAGUGCACCUAACCAGUACUUCAUUAUAUAGAAAAAGAAAAACUGAUUCUCGAUUCAUUUCAAUAUAUGAGUUAUGGGCUGGAGUGAGCAGCACUAACAUGCUCAUAUAGCCUGAAGCAAUCAGUUUAAUAGAUUCCAUGACUACUUGAUGAGUCUGAGCACAAAAGAGGGGCCAGAGGGACUCCGGGCAAGAGGCAGAAGGAGGAAAAUGAAGCAGGGACAUACAAUGAACUGAAGGCUUUCCCCCAUUUAUUGAAAUACUGGUAUGUCUGCUCUGCUGAAUAUACUGUUUCUUUUAAAAUCUUCUGGAAAUACUCUUACAAAAAUUCAAAAUACAGACACAAAUCAUUUAUAGGAGACAAAAAACAAUAAGUAGUGUCAGCACACAGUGAUAUAUUUUACUUGGCUGUGCCAGAAAGAAUUAUAGUUGGUUGUGGUGAGUGGAAUAUAAAGUAACAUAAGUUGCCUGCUGACAACAGGGUUUGAAAUUAUAAAAUGUAAAACCAAUAUAUUUCCCUCACAGUAUCAAACAGCUGGGAUUUUUUAUAGCUUCUAACAGAAUGACAUGUCAUUUUUCAGAGCCUCAUAAUUCUGUAAGCAUGUUUAAGUGCGUGCUCUUAUUUAUUUUAUACAUAGGUUUUUUGGUUUCAAGUAUUACACAGGUUGUGAGGCACUGAGAUGCAAAUACAGCAGCAGUAAUCAGCAUUUUGUUCAAAGCUGUUAGCAUAGAUAUUAGUAUAUUUUCUGUUUCUAACUUUGUUUUUCAGGCUCAAAUGGAUUGCACAUAAUACACUAAAGCAGCCAGCAAAAGCACAACCUUUUUGUGAAUCAUCAAACUAAAAAUCCUGCAGAAAUAUACAUAUUUUUUUUUCAUGCUACUUAAGAAUAUAAUUAUAAAAAUAAAUUUAUGAGAAACUGGCA